UGUGUUCCUGAACGCCUCAUUAGAAUCAUGUCUCAACUUGAUUUCCAAUGUUUGACGCAUUGACGACAAGACUGCGAGGACACUGGGAAGAAACUGACGAUGAAUAGAACGCAUGGCGAACCAGAGGAGGGGGCAAGUCUGGGGGCGACAGGAUAUGAUGCAGACACAGACGACACACAUGAUGAGAAGGACAUUUUGGAUGGGGAACCAGCUGCAUCUCAAGAAGCUGCGUCUCCACAACCGUCAGACGAGCUGGGAGUAGCUGAUGAUGAAACAGAACCAGCUGCAUCUCAAGAAGCUGCAUCUCCACAACCGUCAGACGAGCUGGGAGGGAUGAUGAUGAAAC
rnacentral:lncRNA from 1 species